AGUGAACGCUGGCGGUAGGCCUAACACAUGCAAGUCGAACGGCAGCACAGUAAGAGCUUGCUCUUACGGGUGGCGAGUGGCGGACGGGUGAGGAAUACAUCGGAAUCUACUUUUUCGUGGGGGAUAACGUAGGGAAACUUACGCUAAUACCGCAUACGACCUACGGGUGAAAGCAGGGGAUCUUCGGACCUUGCGCGAUUGAAUGAGCCGAUGUCGGAUUAGCUAGUUGGCGGGGUAAAGGCCCACCAAGGCGACGAUCCGUAGCUGGUCUGAGAGGAUGAUCAGCCACGCUGGAACUGAGACACGGUCCAGACUCCUACGGGAGGCAGCAGUGGGGAAUAUUGGACAAUGGGCGCAAGCCUGAUCCAGCCAUACCGCGUGGGUGAAGAAGACCUUCGGGUUGUAAAGCCCUUUUGUUGGGAAAGAAAAGCAGCAGGUUAAUACCCCGCUGCUCUGACGGUACCCAAAGAAUAAGCACCGGCUAACUUCGUG
rnacentral:rRNA from 1 species